rnacentral:rRNA from 1 species
ACUCAAAUGAAUUGACGGGGACCCGCACAAGCGGUGGAGCAUGUGGUUUAAUUCGACGGUAAGCGAGGAACCUUACCCAGGCUUGAACUUCAACUACAAAUCCUAUGAAAGUAGGACUUCUUCGAGAGUGUUGGAGAGGUGCUGCAUGGUUGCCGUCAGCUCGUGUUGUGAAAUGUACCCUUAAGUGGAGUAACGAGCGCAACCCCCGUGUUAUGUUAAAUGUACAUAACAGACUGCCUGCGUAAGCAGGAGGAAGGCGGGGAUGACGUCAAAUCAGCAUGGCCUUUACGUCUGGGGCUACACACGUGCUACAAUGGGGCAAAACAAUGGGUCGCCAAACCGCAAGGUGGAGCUAAUCCCAGCAAAAUGCCCCCCAGUUCAGAUCGUGGGCUGCAACUCGCCCACGUGAAGCCGGAAUCGCUAGUAAACGCAAAUCAGCCUCGUUGCGUUGAAUACGUUCUCGGGUCUUGUACACACCGCCCGU